GACGAACCGUGCGAACGUUGUUCGGAUUCACUGGGCUUAAAGCGCGUGUAGGCGGGACGGCACGUCGGUCGCUGAAAGCCCCCGGCUCAACCGGGGAACGGGCGCCGAUACGACCGGCCUGGAGGGACGUAGGGGGACCUGGAACUUCCGGUGGAGCGGUGAAAUGCGUUGAGAUCGGAAGGAACGCCCGUGGCGAAAGCGGCGUGCUGGACCCCUUCUGACGCUGAGGCGCGAAAGCCAGGGGAGCAAACGGG
rnacentral:rRNA from 1 species